GUAGGAUAAGAAUGUGUAAGAUAGGAUAAGGUAGGAUAGGAACGGCUAAGAUAUGAUAGAAUAGGAUAAGGUAGGAUAGGAAUGCCAAUUGCAAGAUAGAAUAGAAUAAGGUAGGAUAGCAAUGGCUAAAGGUAAGAUAGAAUAGGAUAAGGUAGCAUAGGAACGGCUAAGAUAUGAUAGAAUAUGCUGGUUAGUAAAGAGUAAUUUAAGAUAGAAUAGUAUAAGGUAGGAUUGGAAUGCCAAUUGUAAGAUAGAAUAGCAUGUGGUAGGAUUAGAAUGGGUAAGAUAGGAUGGAAUAGAAUAAGGUAGCAUAUGAACGGCUAAGAUAUGAUAGAAUAGAAUAAGGUAGGAUAGUAAUGGCUAAAGGUAAUAUAGAAUAGGAUAAGGUAGCAUAGGAACGGCUAAGAUAUGAUAGAAUAUGCUGGUUAGUAAAGAGUAAUUUAAGAUAGAAUAGUAUAAGGUAGGAUUGGAAUGACUAGGGCAAGAUAGAAUACGAUGUGGUAGGAUAAGAAUGUGUAAGAUAGGAUAAGGUAGGUUAGGAACGGCUAAGGUAUGAUAUAAUCGUAUAAGAUAGGAACGGCUAAGAUAGCAUUUGGUAGGAUAGCAACGGGUAAGGUAAGAUAGAGUAGGAUGUGAAUAUGAAAAGGUAGAAUAUGAAAAGGUAGGAUAGGAAUGGCUAUGGUAUGAUAGCAUAGGAUGUGGUAGCAUAUGAACGGCUAAGAUAUUAUUGGAUAGGAUAAGGUAGGAUAGGAAUGGAGAAAGGUAAGAUAGAAUAGGAGAAGGUAGCAUAGGGAUGGCUAAGGUAAGAUAGAACAGGAUAAGGUAGCAUAGGAACGGCUAAGAUAUGAUAGAAUAAGCUGGUUAGGAAAGAGUAAUAUAAGAUAGAAUAGGAUAAGGUACGAUAGGAACAGCUGAGGUAUGAUAGAAUCGUAUAAGAUAGGAAUGGCUAAGAUAGAAUUAGGUAGGAUAGCAACGGUUAAGCUAAGAUAGAAUAAGAUAAGGUAGGAUAAAAAUGGCUAAGGUAUGAUAGAAUAGGCCAAGAUAGGAUAGGAAUGGCUAAGGUAAGAUUGAAUAGGAUAAGGUAGCAUAGGAAUGGUUAAGGUAAGAUAGGAUAUGAUGUGGUAGGAUAAGAAUGUGUAGGAUAGGAUAAGAUAGGAUAGGAACGGCUAAGAUAUGAUAGAAUAUGCUGGUUAGUAAAGAGUAAUUUAAUAUAGAAUAGUAUUAGGUAGGAUUGGAAUGACUAGGGCAAGAUAGAAUAGGAUGUGGUAGGAUAAGAAUGUGUAAGAUAGGAUAAGAUAGGAUAGGAACGGCUAAGAUAUAAUAGAAUAGGAUAAGGUAUGAUAGGAAUGCCAAUUGUAAGAUAGAAUAGGAUGUGGUAGGAUUAGAAUGGGUAAGAUAGGAUGGAAUAGGAUUAGGUAGGAAAGGAACGGGUAAGAUAUGAUAGAAUAGGAUAAGGUAGCAUAGGAACGGAUAAGAUAUGAUAGAAUAUGCUGGUUAGGAAAGAGUAAUUUGAGAUAGAAUAGUAUAAGGUAGGAUUGGAAUGACUAGGGCAAGAUAGAAUAGGAUGUGGUAGGAUAAGAAUGUAUAAGAUAGGAUAAGGUAGGUUAGGAACGGCUAAGGUAUGAUAUAAUCGGAUUAGAUAGGAACGGCUAAGAUAGCAUUAGGUACGAUAGCAACGGGUAAGCUAAGAUAGAAUAGGGUUUGCUAGGAUGAAAAUGGCAAAGACAUGAUAGGAUAAGGUAGUAUAGGAACGGCUAAUAUGAGAUAGAAUAAGAUAAGGUAGGAUAAAAAUGGCUAAGGUAUGAUAGAAUAGGCCAAGAUAGGAUAGGAAUGGCUAAGGUAAGAUUGAAUAGGAUAAGGUAGGAUAGGAAUGGUUAAGGUAAGAUAGGAUAUGAUGUGGUAGGAUAAGAAUGUGUAGGAUAGGAUAAGAUAGGAUUGGAACGGCUAAGAUAUAAUAGAAUAGGAUAAGGUAGGAUAGGAAUGGUUAAGGUAAGAUAGAAUAGGAUGUGGUAGGAUAAGAAUGUGUAAGAUAGGAUAAGGUAGGAUAGGAACGGCUUAGAUAUAAUAGAAUAGGAUAAGGUAGGAUAGGAAUGCCAAUUGUAAGAUAGAAUAGGAUAUGGUAGGAUUAGAAUGUGUAAGAUAGGAUGGAAUAGGAUAAGGUAGGAAAGGAACGGGUAAGAUAUGAUAGAAAAGGGUAAGGUAGGAUAGGAAUGGUUAAGGUAAGAUAGGAUAGGAUGUGGUAGGAUAAGAAUGUGUAAGAUAGGAUAAGGUAGGAUAGGAACGGCUAAGAUAUAAAAGAAUAGGAUAAGGUAGGAUAGGAAUGCCAAUUGUAAGAUAGAAUAGCAUGUGGUAGGAUUAGAAUGGGUAAGAUAGGAUGGAAUAGAAUAAGGUAGCAUAUGAACGGCUAAGAUAUGAUAGAAUAGAAUAAGGUAGGAUAGCAAUGGCUGAAGGUAAUAUAGAAUAGGAUUAGGUAGCAUAGGAACGGCUAAGAUAUGAUAGAAUAUGCUGGUUAGUAAAGAGUAAUUUAAGAUAGAAUAGUAUAAGGUAGGAUAGGAACAGCUGAGGUAUUAUAGAAUCGUAUAAGAUAGGAACGGCUAAGAUAGAAUUAGGUAGGAUAGCAACGGGUAAGCUAAGAUAGAAUAGGAUGUGGUAGGAUGAAAAUGGCUAAGGUAUGAUAGAAUAGGCCAAGAUAGGAUAGGAAUGGCUAAGGUAAGAUUGAAUAGGAUAAGGUAGCAUAGGAAUGGUUAAGGUAAGAUAGGAUAUGAUGUGGUAGGAUAAGAAUGUGUAGGAUAGGAUAAGAUAGGAUAGGAACGGCUAAGAUAUAAUAGAAUAGGAUAAGGUAUGAUAGGAAUGCCAAUUUUAAGAUAGAAUAGGAUGUGGUAGGAUUAGAAUGGGUAAGAUAGGAUGGAAUAGGAUGAGGUAGGAAAGGAACGGGUAAGAUAUGAUAGAAUAGGGUAAGGUAGGAUAGGAAUGGUU